UACCAGCACCCCGAGUGGUCGGGACGUUUAUUGGGCCUAAAGCAUCCGUAGCCGGUUCUACAAGUCUUCCGUUAAAUCCAACUGCUUAACAGGUGGGCUGCGGAAGAUACUAUAGAGCUAGGAGGCGGGAGAGGCAAGCGGUACUUAGUGGGUAGGGGUAAAAUCCGUUGAUCCAUUGAAGACCACCAGUGGCGAAGGCGGCUUGCCAGAACGCACUCGACCGGUGAGGGAUGAAAGCUGGGGGAGCAAACCGG
rnacentral:rRNA from 1 species